rnacentral:rRNA from 1 species
GGGAACGGGGGGGCGUGCUAUACAUGCAAGUAGAACGCUGAAGAGAGGAGCUUGCUCUUCUUGGAUGAGUUGCGAACGGGUGAGUAACGCGUAGGUAACCUGCCUUGUAGCGGGGGAUAACUAUUGGAAACGAUAGCUAAUACCGCAUAACAAUGGAUGACACAUGUCAUUUAUUUGAAAGGGGCAAUUGCUCCACUACAAGAUGGACCUGCGUUGUAUUAGCUAGUAGGUGAGGUAACGGCUCACCUAGGCGACGAUACAUAGCCGACCUGAGAGGGUGAUCGGCCACACUGGGACUGAGACACGGCCCAGACUCCUACGGGAGGCAGCAGUAGGGAAUCUUCGGCAAUGGGGGCAACCCUGACCGAGCAACGCCGCGUGAGUGAAGAAGGUUUUCGGAUCGUAAAACUCUGUUGUAAGUCAAGAACGAGUGUGAGAGUGGAAAGUUCACACUGUGACGGUAGCUUACCAGAAAGGGACGGCUAACUACGUGCCAGCAGCCGCGGUAAUACGUAGGUCCCGAGCGUUGUCCGGAUUUAUUGGGCGUAAAGCGAGCGCAGGCGGUUUGAUAAGUCUGAAGUUAAAGGCUGUGGCUCAACCAUAGUUCGCUUUGGAAACUGUCAAACUUGAGUGCAGAAGGGGAGAGUGGAAUUCCAUGUGUAGCGGUGAAAUGCGUAGAUAUAUGGAGGAACACCGGUGGCGAAAGCGGCUCUCUGGUCUGUAACUGACGCUGAGGCUCGAAAGCGUGGGGAGCGAACAGGAUUAGAUACCCUGGUAGUCCACGCCGUAAACGAUGAGUGCUAGGUGUUGGAUCCUUUCCGGGAUUCAGUGCCGCAGCUAACGCAUUAAGCACUCCGCCUGGGGAGUACGACCGCAAGGUUGAAACUCAAAGGAAUUGACGGGGGCCCGCACAAGCGGUGGAGCAUGUGGUUUAAUUCGAAGCAACGCGAAGAACCUUACCAGGUCUUGACAUCCCGAUGCUAUUUCUAGAGAUAGAAAGUUACUUCGGUACAUCGGUGACAGGUGGUGCAUGGUUGUCGUCAGCUCGUGUCGUGAGAUGUUGGGUUAAGUCCCGCAACGAGCGCAACCCCUAUUGUUAGUUGCCAUCAUUCAGUUGGGCACUCUAGCGAGACUGCCGGUAAUAAACCGGAGGAAGGUGGGGAUGACGUCAAAUCAUCAUGCCCCUUAUGACCUGGGCUACACACGUGCUACAAUGGUUGGUACAACGAGUUGCGAGUCGGUGACGGCAAGCUAAUCUCUUAAAGCCAAUCUCAGUUCGGAUUGUAGGCUGCAACUCGCCUACAUGAAGUCGGAAUCGCUAGUAAUCGCGGAUCAGCACGCCGCGGUGAAUACGUUCCCGGGCCUUGUACACACCGCCCGUCACACCACGAGAGUUUGUAACACCCGAAGUCGGUGAGGUAACCUUUGGAGCCAGCCGCCUAAGGUGGAUAAGAGAUGG